rnacentral:rRNA from 1 species
AGCGAACGCUGGCGGCAGGCCUAACACAUGCAAGUCGAACGAACUCUUCGGAGUUAGUGGCGGACGGGUGAGUAACACGUGGGAACGUGCCUUUAGGUUCGGAAUAACUCAGGGAAACUUGUGCUAAUACCGAAUGUGCCCUUCGGGGGAAAGAUUUAUCGCCUUUAGAGCGGCCCGCGUCUGAUUAGCUAGUUGGUGAGGUAAAGGCUCACCAAGGCGACGAUCAGUAGCUGGUCUGAGAGGAUGAUCAGCCACAUUGGGACUGAGACACGGCCCAAACUCCUACGGGAGGCAGCAGUGGGGAAUCUUGCGCAAUGGGCGAAAGCCUGACGCAGCAAUGCCGCGUGAAUGAUGAAGGUCUUAGGAUUGUAAAAUUCUUUCACCGGGGACGAUAAUGACGGUACCCGGAGAAGAAGCCCCGGCUAACUUCGUG